UACGUAGGGGGCAAGCGUUGUCCGGAAUCAUUGGGCGUAAAGAGCGUGUAGGCGGCCAGGUAGGUCUGCUGUGAAAACUCGAGGCUCAACCUCGAGAUGUCGGCGGAAACCAUCUGGCUAGAGUCCGGAAGAGGAGAGUAGAAUUCCUGGUGUAGCGGUGAAAUGCGCAGAUAUCAGGAGGAAUACCCGUGGCGAAAGCGACUCUCUGGGACGGUACUGACGCUGAGACGCGAAAGCGUGGGGAGCAAACAGG
rnacentral:rRNA from 1 species